GUCGGCCCACCCACCCGCGGCCGGGCGGGGAGGGGGAGCGACGCCAUGCAUGCCGGGAAAUCGCUCCCCUCGGCAGCCGGCCUCCUCCUCCGGGACGGGCAAGCGGUGAAGUACGCAUGCGCGGGAGGGGAGAAAUAUUCUCCUUGAUUCCUGUGUCCCACGUUCAGAUCUUCUGCUGAGAUCAACAAAAACAGAAAUGAUAAAAUUUUUUCUUAUGGUAAACAAACAAGGUCAAACAAGACUUUCUAAGUAUUAUGAGCAUGUAGAAAUUAAGAAACGGACAAUGCUGGAAGCUGAAGUAAUCAAAAACUGUCUCUCCCGUUCAAAGGAUCAGUGCUCUUUCAUUGAGUAUAAGGACUUCAAGCUGGUAUAUCGACAGUAUGCAGCUCUUUUUGUAGUCGUUGGAAUCGAUCACACAGAGAAUGAGAUGGCAGUAUAUGAACUAAUUCAUAAUUUUGUGGAAGUUCUGGACAAAUACUUCAGCAGAGUGAGUGAAUUAGAUGUAUCCUUUUCAACAUCAGAAAUCCAUUUGUCUAUCUGGUUUUGGGGUACGUUCCAGUUCAUACUGUCUUCGUAGCACUGGCUGUCGUUCAGGCAAGACAAUGCAGAGGUUUUUCCAAUUUUGCACUUACACAAUUCACAGGAUCAGUGAUCUGAAGUCAGGAUCAGUGCUCUGAAGGGCAACCUACAACUGCCAUACCUUGCGUACAACAGUAAGCCGGGGAUGGAGGUUUGCCAGUCCUCCUGGAGGGAGUGUUGAACAACCAGUGGUGAACUGGAGAAAAGCUUUCCUCUCAUCUGAAGACAUACCGCACAGGACUCGCACAAACCGAAGGAAUCCGGGGCUUAAAACAGAUUAAAAGAGUUAUGACAAUAUUAUAUGAGAGUGAUUUAUUUUCUUUUUCAGUUUCCCUUACCUUGAGGCAGUACAAUUGUGCUCUUUAGUCAUGUCUAAGCAGUCACUGGAAGAUUCCAGUGCUUGUUCAGUACUGGCUUAAGAAUAAAACCCAUAAAAAUACUUCUUUCAUCUCCUUGCUGCGUAUUACACUGAGAAGUGCAAUUAUCUUACUAUGAUUGGCAAUAAAUUAAACUAAUUUCCCCAAGUCUGUUUUGGCCAUAAUGAUAAUUGAUGAAUGAUCAUUCCCUGUCCUUAUCUCAACCCACAAGCAUUCGGUUACAUUUUCUCUGCCCCAUCCAGUUGAGGAGGAUGGUGAGAGUGGCUUUGGUGGGCAGCUGGCAUCCAGCCAGGGUCAAGCCACCACAGUGUGAUUUCAUUUCCAGCCUGUUAAAGACUACAAUAGUUCUUUAGGGAAUCCUUUCAUCCAUACCAGCCCUGGGAGUGAGAGAGAAAAGAGGGCAUGAGGAAAGCAGAGCCUGCUGAAACACACCCUCAGGUAUCAGGCACUGUAAUCUUAGCUGCAUCUUUGUAUGCAGGGCAGGGUCAAUAGAAUAAUCGCUCCACACAACAUCUUAGACUGAUAAGGAUCCUUCAGCAUGCUUAUACUAUCAUAGUUCCAGAAGUGGUUCAUAUGUUAUUGCUACCAAACGUAACAAGCAGCAAAGAAAAGAACAAAACCCAAACCCAACAAACCCCAAAA